AAGUCUGUUUUAAAUAAAGACACUGCCUUCUAAGCAGCGGGUCGGGAGUUCGAGUCUCUCCAGGCGCGCCA
rnacentral:tRNA from 1 species